GCUUCAUCACCCAUUUGUCCACGAUAUAAAAAAUGAACGACGUGUUGUGGAGUCAUUGACCAAGCACCUUACUGGGAUCAUCCAAAAGAGAGAGAGAAAAGGAAUACCUCUGGCCUUCGAAGGAGAAGAAGCUGUUAACGAACAAUACAUCACAAGGAGAUUCAGAGGACCUUCUUGCACUCCUGAACUUCUGAGAGUGCCAACCAGCAGCCGAUGCAGACCACUCAGAGUCCUGCAUGGAGAGCCUCCUCAGCCAAGGUGGUUACCUGAUGAAGAAC
rnacentral:lncRNA from 1 species